AAAAAAUGCAGCUCUGCCUCAUGACUCCUGCUCUCAGCGGAGCUGGACUCUUGGAACAUCACCAGGAACUACAGAUUUUUCAGAUGAAAAAGGCUGGGAAAAUGGUCAAAAGAAAGACACCAGGUCACUGAUACCAACAGGUAACUGACAAUCAGAAGGUAAGCAAGUACAACCAAGUUAAGUCACAACAUUGGAGAAAGAUGUUUGCCUGGUGGGGGCUGCAGUGGUUCUACACUGGAAAGUCAUGACCAAAAAAGGGUUGCAAGUCAUGGUGAGUAAUCAGCUGUCCAUGAACUGACCUAAUCUUUGUAUGUAUAAGCAGAGGAAAUCCAGGGAGAAGAGGGUGAUAAUGUUGUCUGGGUAUUCCCCAUCUCCUGAAACUGC
rnacentral:lncRNA from 12 species